GACGAACGCUGGCGGCGUGCUUAACACAUGCAAGUCGAACGGAAAGGCCCUGCUUUUGUGGGGUGCUCGAGUGGCGAACGGGUGAGUAACACGUGAGUAACCUGCCCUUGACUUUGGGAUAACUUCAGGAAACUGGGGCUAAUACCGGAUAGGAGCUCCUGCUGCGUGGUGGGGGUUGGAAAGUUUCGGCGGUUGGGGAUGGACUCGCGGCUUAUCAGCUUGUUGGUGGGGUAGUGGCUUACCAAGGCUUUGACGGGUAGCCGGCCUGAGAGGGUGACCGGCCACAUUGGGACUACGAUACGGCCCAGACUCCUACGGGAGGCAGCAGUGGGGAAUAUUGUACAAUGGGCGGAAGCCUGAUGCAGCAACGCCGCGUGCGGGAUGACGGCCUUCGGGUUGUAAACCGCUUUCGCCUGUGACGAAGCGUGAGUGACGGUAAUGGGUAAAGAAGCACCGGCUAACUACGUG
rnacentral:rRNA from 1 species